AUACCAUGUUGUAGGCACUUCCCCAACAUAUCCUUAUACCUCUCCCAAGUGUCAUACAAGGUUUCUGAUUCCAACUGCUUAUAAGAUGAAAUGUCGCUUCAGAGCAU